rnacentral:miRNA from 1 species
AGAGUGCAGUAGAGCCAAGGAUGAAUUUCAGGCAGUGCAACAACUUAUACCAAGUAGAAUGAUGAUCGAUAAUCAAUGUCUUGGAAAAUUAGUUGGUAUUUAACUGUUGGGAAUUUAUUGCUUGGCUAAAUUGUGUUCUCU